rnacentral:rRNA from 1 species
GACGAACGCUGGCGGCGUGCCUAAUACAUGCAAGUCGAACGCUUUUUCUUUCACCGGAGCUUGCUCCACCGAAAGAAAAAGAGUGGCGAACGGGUGAGUAACACGUGGGUAACCUGCCUAUCAGAAGGGGAUAACACUUGGAAACAGGUGCUAAUACCGUAUAACACUAUUUUCCGCAUGGAAGAAAGUUGAAAGGCGCUUUUGCGUCACUGAUGGAUGGACCCGCGGUGCAUUAGCUAGUUGGUGAGGUAACGGCUCACCAAGGCAACGAUGCAUAGCCGACCUGAGAGGGUGAUCGGCCACACUGGGACUGAGACACGGCCCAGACUCCUACGGGAGGCAGCAGUAGGGAAUCUUCGGCAAUGGACGAAAGUCUGACCGAGCAACGCCGCGUGAGUGAAGAAGGUUUUCGGAUCGUAAAACUCUGUUGUUAGAGAAGAACAAGGAUGAG